rnacentral:rRNA from 1 species
GUAGGUGGCAAGCGUUGUCCGGAAUUAUUGGGCGUAAAGCGCGCGCAGGCGGUUCUUUAAGUCUGAUGUGAAAGCCCACGGCUCAACCGUGGAGGGUCAUUGGAAACUGGAGAACUUAAAUACAGAAGAGGAAAGCGGAAUUCCACGUGUAGCGGUGAAAUGCGUAGAGAUGUGGAGGAACACCAGUGGCGAAGGCGGCUUUCUGGUCUGUAACUGACGCUGAGGCGCGAAAGCGUGGGGAGCAAACAGGGAUUAGAUACCCUGGUAGUCCACGCCGUAAACGAUGAGUGCUAAGUGUUAGGGGGUUUCCCGCCCCUUAGUGCUGCAGCUAACGCAUUAAGCACUCCGCCUGGGGAGUACGGCCGCAAGGCUG